AAUUGCCCUUAUAAAAUUGAUAACAAUUGCGAAAUUUCAUAUCAACGUUCCUGCGAGAGAAAUUAGGAGGCUGAAAUCCAAUGUAGAUCUGCCUAUAGAUAACUAAGUUCCUUGACAGAAGACAAAGAGAUGACGAUGUUUGCUUUACUCCUCAGUGUGGGUAUUUUAGGAACAAGUAAAGGAAUAAACCCAUGCAUUUCUGCUUCUGGGUCGGAAUGGGAAAGAUACAAUGGGCAUUGGUAUUAUUACUCUAAUCACACUCUGAAUUGGAUAGGAGCCCAGAUGUACUACCGACGUCAGGGUGGGAAUUUGGUACAUAUCGACGAUGCCGAGGAGAACGAUUGGUUAUCUUCUAAGUACACUGCAGAAUCCAUAUGGAUUGGAGUUGAUAACCAGGCUGGUGACGGUGUAUGGCGUUCAAUAACCACUGGAGAAAAAGCACCGUAAAUCAAUUGGUCAGCAGGUAACCCCAACAACCACGCUUCAGAUCAGCAUUGUGCAUCUUUGAACUGGCCUGAGAAGGGGCAAUGGGACGACAACCAGUGCUGGAAAGAAUUCACCUUCAUCUGCGAAGUAGUAGGAUAUGGAGAGGAUCGGCAGACAUGUUGCAAUAUUUGUACACAAUAAACAUCUUCAAUGCA